rnacentral:rRNA from 1 species
GAAUCUUCCACAAUGGACGAAAGUCUGAUGGAGCAAUGCCGCGUGAGUGAAGAAGGUUUUCGGAUCGUAAAGCUCUGUUGUAAGGGAAGAACAAGUACGGGAGUAACUGCCCGUACCUUGACGGUACCUUAUUAGAAAGCCACGGCUAACUACGUUCCAGCAGCCGCGGUAAUACGUAGGUGGCAAGCGUUGUCCGGAAUUAUGGGGCGUAAAGCGCGCGUAGGCGGCCCCUUAAGUCUGAUGUGAAAGCCCCCGGCUCAACCGGGGAAGGUCAUUGGAAACUGAGAGGCUUGAGUACAGAAGAGGAAAGCGGAAUUCCACGUGUAGCGGUGAAAUGCGUAGAGAUGUGGAGGAACACCAGUGGCGAAGGCGGCUUUCUGGUCUGUAACUGACGCUGAGGCGCGAAAGCGUGGGGAGCAAAC